UGGAAGAUCUUCUAAUUGACAAUCAUAUUGUUUUUAGAAGUAUAUAUCCUAUAUAUAUGGGUAAUUGAUAAUAUCCAACGAACUAAAUCUUAUUCAAGUUCGUUCUUCUCCUAAUGGAGAAAUCCAUUAUCUUAUGAUGCUUCUUUCCUUGAUAUCUUUCAAGAAAACUAUUCUAAAGUGUUACCAUUCCUUGGAUCAAAUCUGAGGAUGUAAAUACUUUAGACGUCUUACUCAUCAACUUACAUUUCUUGAAUUCUUUGAAACAUUUUGCAAAGUAUUCGGACUUGUGUUUAUUCAAAAAUAAACUAUAGUCCAACCGAGAGUGAUCUUCGGUGAAUGUUAUCCAACAUGAGUAGUAUUUAUGUUUGUGGACAAGUGCCACUAACAUCUAAGUGAAUUAACCUCAACAACUUUGUGAUUCUUUCUUC
rnacentral:lncRNA from 1 species